AUGGCAUCUGUUGCCGUUGAUCCACAGCUGAGUGUGGUGACUCGGGUAGCCCAUCUUGGUGAGCUCCACGUCCGACCUCGUCUUCUUGGCUUAUAUCAGUACAAAGGAUCGGUACCUGUGCUUGAAGUCUGCAUGAGAGAUGGCAGAGAAGGGUGUGAAGACCAUCACUUCCGUGGCUGUGACGAGUGCUCUGCCCAUCAUCCCAAAGCUAGAGUCACAAAUUGCCGUUGCCAGUACCUCUGCUUGUAAGGGGCUAGAUAGGAUUGAAGAGAAACUGCCUAUUCUGAAUCAGGCAACACACCAGGUUGUUGCCAAUGCCAGAGGUGCUAUGACCAGGGCAAAAGACGAUGUGACCACUACUGUGACCGGGGCCAAGGAUUCCAUGGCCAGCACCACCACUGGCAGUGUAGUGAAGACCAAGUCUAUGGUCAGUGGCAGCAUUAACACAGUCUUGGGAAGUGGGAUGAUGCAGCUGGUAAGCAGCAGAAUAGAGCAUGCGCUCACCAAAUCAGAGUUGCUGGUGGACCAGUACCUCCCUCUCACUGAGAAAGAACUAGAAAAAAGAAGCAAAAAAAGUUGAAGGGUUUGAGAUGGUUCAGAAGCCAAGUUAUUACAUUAGACUGGGAUCCCUGUCUAUCAAGCUCCACUCACAUGCCCACCAGCAGGCUUCUAACAGGAUUAAGGAAGCCAAGCAAAAAAGCAAAGAGACCAUUUCUCAGCUCCAUUCCACUGUUAAUCUGAUUGAAUUUGCCAGGAGGAAUGUGCAUAGUGCCAACCGGAAAAUUCAAGGUGCUCAGGAUAAGUUCUCUGUCUCCUGGGUGGAGUGGAAGAGAAGCAUUGGCCACGAUGAUACAGAUGAAUACCACUGUGCUGAACACAUUGGGUCACGUCGUCUUGCUAUUGCCCACAACCUGACUCAGCAGCUCCAGACCACGUGCCACACCCUGAGGUCCAAUAUCCAAGGUUACCACAGAACAUCCAAGAUCAGGCCAGUCACUUGGGGUGAUGGCUGGUAACAUUGACUCACGGUUCUGCAGUGCUGCCUCUUUUAAGGAAGUGUCUGACGGCCUCCUCAUUUCCAGCAAGGGGCAGCUGCAGAACACGAGGGAGUCUUUAGAUGAUGUGAUGGAUUAUCUUGUUAACAACACGCCUCUCAACUGGCUGGUAGGUCCCUUUUAUCCUCAGCUGGCUGAGUCUCAGCAUGCUCAGGACCAAGGUGCACAGAAGGGUGCAAGCAGUCAGGAGGCCCAGCAGCCUGAGCACAGAACACAUUCAAGCUGUCCUUGUCACCACUCCAUGGUGCGGCCAGCCAGAGGAAACUUUCUGUGAUGUUGAAAUUAACCUGCUAGACGGUUCUGAAUUGGGGAAGCAGCUAGCUAGAGAAAAGGUCCUCAGUUGUAGUCAUUUUUAA